rnacentral:rRNA from 1 species
UUUAGUCAGGCAACGAGCGAGACCCGUGCCCACUGUUACCAGCAUAUCCUCCGGGAUGAUGGGUACUCUGUGGGGACCGCCGGUGUUAAAUCGGAGGAAGGUGCGGGCCACGGUAGGUCAGUAUGCCCCGAAUUUCCCGGGCUACACGCGGGCUACAAUGAAUGGGACAAUGGGUCCCUCCCCUGAAAAGGGCUGGUAAUCUCACAAACCCAUCCGUAGUUCGGAUCGAGGGCUGUAACUCGCCCUCGUGAAGCUGGAAUCCGUAGUAAUCGCGUUUCAAUAUAGCGCGGUGAAUACGUCCCUGCUCCUUGCACA